rnacentral:rRNA from 1 species
UACGGAGGGGGCUAGCGUUAUUCGGUAUCACUGGGCUUAAAGAGUUCGUAGGCGGCCAAGCAGGUCAGGUGUGAAAUCCCACAGCUCAACUGUGGAACUGCGCUUGAAACCGCAUGGCUUGAGGGAGAUAGAGGUAAGCGGAACAGAUGGUGGAGCGGUGAAAUGCGUUGAUAUCAUCUGGAACACCGGUGGCGAAAGCGGCUUACUGGAUCUUUUCUGACGCUGAGGAACGAAAGCUAGGGUAGCGAACGGG